GGCUAUCGCACAAUGUUGGAUGCUCUUAUUCCAGCAUUAACCGUUCUUCAAGAGGUCAUCAUAAAUGGUCACCUUGUUUUGCAUUCUUUUAGUUGAUAUGGCUUCAUAUCCAGCUAUUGAUGCAUCUAUCUCAACAGAGGUUAGAUGCUGAAGAUGACCCUGUCACUGCUUUUGUUCUUUCAUCCGAAGCAGCAUUGGAUGGGGCUGAGUCCACCAAACACAUGCAAGCACAAGUAAAAUUCUAAUUUAUCCUUCUCCCUUUUUUCUUUUGCAUUAUUAACUCUACGGUUUUAAUUUUUCCUAUUGUUGUGUGAAUUUCAUUUCUUUGAUGAAAACCACAUGUGCAAGUUUCCUUUGAAUUGCUACAGCUAUGGUGACGCAUAUUCAUCUUUUCAUGCUGCACAACAAAGUUGGAAACAAUUUCCAUAAUUUUUUCUUCUUUAUUUCAUUUUUAUUUUCUUUUUCUGAUGAGAAACAAAGAUAAUUGAUGCCUAUAACCCCUUUUUCAGCCUUUAGUGGGAAGAGUUAUCAAGAAUGUUGGGUACAAGGGGAAUGGCGUCUACAGUCCCUUUUUGGGCCUUUAAAGGGUUGUUCUUUGUGGACUCCAUUGAAAGAGUAGUUUGGCUUCAAAAGUGAGAUGGUCGUAUUAGUGAGCGGAGGCCAUAGCAUAACAUUAAGGAGAUGGUCAACAAGUGCUUGGAAAAUUUAGGUAAGGAUGGAUCGAACUAAGAGGCUUUCCUUUCCAUCUGUGGUUUUGAUUUAGCCGGAGGUGGCUUCUUCUCAAGGCAACAUCAGGUGUUGCGAACAUGUGGCAGCACCAGGGAGAAGAUAAGAAACAACUGUCCCUCAUUUCCUCUCUUUUCAAUUUCAAAUUAAAAUAUAAAAGCCAAAUGGUGGCUUAAAAAAGAGGACAACCCAUUCUCAGGGGAUGAGAGGCCCAGCAGACGAGGAUAGCGGCCCACUUAGUUGAGGAAAAGGUUUAAGAGAAAGCAGGCCCAGUUCUCCUUUAAUAUACAAGGCCCAAUUUGGUGGGAGCUCAAAUCAUGCAAUAAACUCCGGACCCUCUGUCUUAGCAAUAGGGAGGCAAGCCCAUUUAAACAAAGGGAGCCCAAGUAAUAUAUUGGGCCAUAAUCAAAUUUGAACUGUGUUGAAACCUAAUUUUUUGAGGAAAAUAAAGCAUGGUUACAGAGUAAGGAGGGGCCCGUACUGCAAGUUGGGUCAACCAUCGUUGAUUUUAGAUGUUGGCUCAUUUGCUUCCAAUCUUCCAAAGGCCUAUAAUAAAUUAUAGGUUUCUUUUUUUUUAAUAGUUCAUUAAGCCUUCUGGGUUUUCUAAAGCUUAUAAGUAAGACAAUUUGAUAUAACCAAGAGAUUAAUGAAUGAAUGAAUGAAUGAAUGAUACAUUAUACCAAAACUUCAGCAUACCUUGUAACUUCCAAUGGUGAGAGCCCAUUGUCUCUUCUAGCUGUGACUCUUAGAGGCCCUUAGUGAAAACUCUAGGUUUUUCUAUCUCUUCAUUUUUUUCCUGUUUUUAUUUUCUUUUCCCUGCUGUCCUAACAGUUCCUUGUUCAUCUUCUUAAAUUCUAAAUUAGUGAAUGCCCACCAUGUUUGAUUGUAGACAACUGCCCCUGGGUUGUUCUACAUCAUUUCAGGUAGAGAAAUAUAUGAGGAAUCCUUCCAAGUUGAAAAAAAAAUAAUUAAAAUUUAAAUGAAAGGAGAAAAAAAAGAAGCAAGAAUAAGGCCAUCAAACCCCAACAACUGGUCACAAGGAAAUGAUUUCAAGUGGGAAUAUGAUCUCCACAAAUCCAGAAACAGAAUUGGUCCUCUUUUAACUGGUUGCCUUCCUGAUUUAAUAUCUUCCUCAAAUUCAGAGAAAAAAAAAAAUCUCCAUUUACCUGGCUAGAAAGAAAAUUUGACAGAAGACUUAAAAUGAAGGUGUAAGGCUGCUAAUCAUGUGAUCAUCCAUGUUGUUUGAUGAGAGACAACUGAAAUACAGGACAACUGUUGGUAAUUGACCUUCCUACUAAUCACUAACCAAUGGACACUUCAUAAACUAUUCUAGCAAAUUAAAAGUGGAAGACUUCAAUAGUGCAAUCAUUUUCUUUUCUUUUCCUUUUUUUUAUUAUUAUUAUAAAGACUAUAUGCCAUAACAGACAUUGAAAUGUAAAAUGUGUACUAGAAAGAGUUAAGAUUUAAGAAAUGGUUUUUGAUGCCUAGCUCAAGUGGUAAAGGGUUGGGGUGAUGUUGUGGGAGGUUCCAGGUUAGAGUCCCACCAGGGACAAAAAAUAAAGUGCUUUAGGUAUUGAGAGAGAGAGAGAGAGAGAGAGAUGAAAAGUACAAUGUGUAGGAAGAACUUAAGGUGGGAAAAGGAAAAGAUUUCUUUAAGAAAUAGAAGUGGGGAGAUGUGGGAAAAAGGGAAAUAUUACUUUCAGAAAUAGAAGUGGGGAGAUGAGGACUAGUUUUCUUGUCUUUUCAUGAGAUGAUGCAAAUUGUUUUCCUCAUCUGCUCAAAGCAUAAACCACAAAGUUGAAACAUAAUGCUUUCUUUAGUGACAACACAUGAUCAUCAUUAGUUUCUAUUUUAAGUUGAAGUUCAUCAUUAGUUUCCUAUUUUAAGUUUAUUUGCUUUAGUAUUUUGUUUUAAGAUUGAUUUCCUAGUUUCCCUAGUUUCCAAUUAUUUUUAGUUUCCUAUUUUAGUUAUUUCCUUUAGCAUUGCAAACAUUAUUUAAAGGCUUAUUGUAAUUGUUAGAAUCAGUUCAAUAUAAUUUAUUUGAAUUAUUCUCUAAUUUUCAGAUCCUAUUGUGAUCUUUGUGUUUGUUUUUGAGUGUUUUUUCAUUUUGUUUUGAAACAAACCUUCCGUUGCACCAAAAUUGGUAUUAGAGUAAGGAUUUUUACUUCAAUCUGAUGGUUGACAAUGGUUCUAGUGGGAAAUGAACCAUCGACAAUGAACAAUGGUUUGAAAAAAUUGAGCAAUGGCUCAACGGGAUCAAUGACACUCUUUGCAACCUCACGUAGAUGAUGGCUGUGUUGACUGUCGAAGGGAAACAUGGACCCAUGGAGUGACUACCAGACCAGUGUGGUGACCUAUAGGAGGGUGGCUAUGAUGAUUGAUGCCGGCCACAAAUCUGGUCAAGAAUCAACGGCGAAGGUGCGAUUCGCGCGGGUCUAGCCGUGAAUUGCGAUUUUCGUGAGCCCCUUCCAUUAUGGGUGUAUGAGUGUCGAAAUCAAGGAGCUCCUAGGCGGUGUGACGACAACUACCUUUGGUGAGGGGUUUCGAUUGGCGGCAAUGGUGAGUUCAAAGCUGGUAGUGGCUUUCCACGAGUGGCUGCAAGGGUUUUUGAUGAGCAAGAUGAGUUUUUUUCCACCUUUUUGAGAUGGUGAUGAUUUUCGACUUCCAUAGUGAAGGAAUAUUCAACAAAGGCAGCAAUGGAGGCUGGAUUAUUCAUCUGGAGAAGAAGAUGAUUUCCCUUUUCAAUUAUCAAGCUAACGAUUAGGGUCAAAAUAACAAAAAAUUUAAGAUGAAAAUGGAUUUACCGAGUUUCAACAACCGAUUACACAUUGAAGAUUUUCUUGAUUGGUCCAUAUCGUCGAAAACUUUUUCGACUAUUUGAAUACUUCAGAAGAAAAUCAAGUAAAGCUUUUGGCGUAUGAGUUGAAAGGCGGAGCUUUUGCAUGGUGGGAACAACUUCAAUAUAAUUGUCAACGGCAAGGAAAACAACGUGUUUGUACUUGGCCCAAGAUGAAACAGUUGUUACAAAGGCGAUUUCUCCCUCUGGAUUAUGAACAAUUUUUGUACCAACAAUAUAAAAAUUAUCUGCGAGUCAAUUGCACUGUGAACGAAUACACAGAGGAAUUUUAUCAAUUAAAUGCUCAAGUUAAUUUAUCUGAGACGGAGGUGUAGACAUCAAAAUUUUUAGUGAAAUAAACUCUCACUAAAUUGGUCUUAAAAAAAAAUGUGGCCACCCAAUUCAACAAAAUUUAGGAUCGACAAAUGAUAUAGGUCUUACACACAUUUGACACGUGACAUAUAUUAAAAAAGUGACAAGUGGCGAAAUUUGGAAGACGACAAAAUUUAGUUUUGGAAAUAAAAUCGAAUCUUUCAAUUGUUGUGUCAAAAGAGAAUUAAAAAUAAAUAAAUACUCUCAUUGACAAAUUUCCAAAGGAAAUAAAUAUUCCCACUAAAAUCAAAAGAGACUAAAAAAAAUAAAUAAAUAUUCUUUUGUUGACAAAUUUUCUUAAUGAAAAAGACAAGUUGCUAAAAUCAAGGAACCAAAUUCUUUGAAUUCAGUAACUAAAUCUUGGGGAAUUCCAAAAUUUACUUCCCUAAUUUCACUUAUAAAUAGGGGUGACUUCCUUCAAUUAGGGGAUUUCCUUCAAUGAGGGGACUUCUUCGGAUUGAUAAAAAUGACUCCACAUGGGAAACAAGACUUCAUGAAGAAGAAAAGGCUUCACAAAAUCUCCUUAUAAGUUCAAGAAAUUGUAGAAGAACUACAUACGUGUUCUUUGCCUUUUUGACAAAGUUAUUCAGGAAUAAGCCACUACAGGCCUUCGAUCGACUUUGAAAAUAAAGAAAACAUCUUCGUCAUCUACAUACGCAAUCUUUGCCAUUCAUUGAGUUCAUUUGGGAACAAGCUACUUGUGGCCCUCGAUUGAUCUUUGAAAUCAAGAAAACGUUUUUGUUGUCUCCUAAAUUGUGAUCAAGGUGAAAGAAUAAAAGGAAUUUGUUUUUUUGUAGAAUAAUAUUACCACGAAGAUUGUACCCUAUAAUUUAUUAAUUUUAAUAAAAAAAAUUGUUUCGCAUUAUUUUUCUUAUUGUUAUGCUUACAUUGCAAGACCUUUACAAAAUUUGUGCACGUACAAAUUUUAGGCACGCUUGGUGGGACAUCUUUGCCUCAUUUCUUUCGCUAAAAAAUUGAUCAUUAUUAAGAUGAUAUCUAAAAAAACUCAAGCUACGCAUGUCAAAAAGGGUGAUGACAAGAUUGUCAUUACUCAAGCAACACGUAGUACCUCUUCGGGCCCCAUGACUAGUAACAAAGGGAAAUUUGAAGCAACGUGUUGGCCAUUUCGUCGAAACUUGUAGCCAAGUAGGUAUAGAGUGUGACCUCUUGGUCAAACAAUUUGUUCAAUCCCUUCAAGGGAAUGCCUUUGAUUGGUAUAUCGACCUUACACCCAAGUGCAUUGACAACUAGGACCAAAUGGAGUGUGAAUUCCUCAAUUGCCUCUAUAACACUUGACAAACUGUAAGUAUGAUUGAGCUAACCAAUACCAAGCAAAUGAAAGACAAGUCGGUUGUUGACUAGGUUAAUCGUUGGCGUUCCUUAAACCUUGACUGUAAGGAUAGGUUAUAUGAGGUGUUAGCUAUGGAGAUGUGCAUACAAGGCAUGCAUUAGGGUCUUUUGUACAUUCUCCAAGGGAUACGAUCCCACACCUUCGAAGAGUUGGCUACACGAACACAUGACAUAGAGUAUGUUAUAAAAAUAAAUGAAAGUAAAAGCAUGUCUAUGGAAGAAAUUGAAGAUGAUAGCACUAGAGACAAAAACAUCACUAAUGAGGAUGAAAAGAGUGUGACAUCAAAUUUCACUACAAUUGUUUUUAAACCUUAACACUCCAGUGUUGCUCUUUAAUGCAUGAGCCUAAACUGCUUAUUGCUCCUAUCCUAUAUGAUCUUACAUUGUAGUAACAAAAAAAAAAAAAAAUCAAACUUAUGCUAAAGGAAAAAUAAAAUCUUGGCAAACUUCUUAAAUCGAGGAACAAGCUCUUUGCAUUAAAGAAGUCAAAUUUGGAGAUCCUAAACUAAAAUCUCCAACUUCUCUAAAUGUAAGUGUUUUUUUCUUCAAAAUAAGGCAUUCUCAAAAGGAAAAUGCAACCUAGAAGCUAAAUCCAAAAAUGAAGCUUCAAGAGCAUGUUAUAAAAACAAAUGAAAGUGAAAGCAAGUCUAUGGAAGAAAUUUAAGAUGAUAGCACUGGAGGCAAAAACAUCACUGAAGAGGAUGAAAAGAGUGUGACACAUGAAAUUUCACUACAAUUGUUUUGUAACCUUAACACUCCAGAGUUGCUCCUUAAUCCAUGAGCUUAAAUUGUAUAUUACUCCUAGCCUACAAGAGCUUAAACUAUAGUAAAAAAAAAUAAAAAAAAUAAAAAAAAAUCAAACUUAUGCUUAAGGAAGAACAAAAAAAAAAAAAAAUUCUUGGCAAACUUCUUAAAUCAAGGAACAAGCUCUUUGCAUUAAAGAAGUCAAAUUCGGAGAUCCUAACUAAAAUCUCCAACUUGUCUAAAUGUAAGUGGUUUUUUUCUUCUAUAAUAAGGCGUUUUCAAAAGGAAAAGGCAACCCAUAAGCUAAAUAAAAAAAAUGAAGCUUCAAAAGACAGGAUCAAAUUCCAAACAUUCUUCAACAAGCUCAUAGAAGAAUAUUAAACAUGAUACAGAAGUAUCAUUCAUCCACCUUCAAAGCCAAAGAAGAAAAAGUCAGGUUCUUCAAAACACUCGAGGAAAUUAUUGAUAAGUUUACUUGAGAUCAAAUGAACAUUGGCCCUCCAUUAAACUUUGCUCUAAGAACACGUGUUUAUUACUCUUGGAUUAAAGUCAAGUCUAAGCUUGACACAUUCUUCAACAAGCCUAUGGUAUAUUAAACAUAAUACAAAAGUGUUAUUCAUCUAUUUUCAAGGCUGAAAAUUAAGAUGAAUUCAAAGGACCUUCAUUGUAAUAUCUCACAUCGGAUAAGGAAGAAAGUUUUUGGCAUUAUAUAAGUAUGAGCUUGUUUUAAUCAUGUAGAUGCGUUUUAAAGUUGUGAGGGCCCUUUAGGCCUAAAGCUAAUAAUAUCUGCACGGUUGGGUGUAGGUCAUUACAAAAUACUUAAGAAAGAUCUUCACAACUUUAGUUGUGAAUGAGUCAUCUUUGACCUCAAUUAAACUUUGUUCUAAGCACAUGCAUUUAUUGCCCUUAGAUCAAACUCAAGACAAGUGAUGCUCUUGAAAGCAUGAGCCCUGAAUUGCAUGACACUUUUGGCCUACAUGAGCUUAAACUGUGUACGACACAAAAAAAAAAAAAACUACGUUUGGCUUGAUUCCCUCUCUUUGAAGGGUACGUAGGCAACUUAGGGAAACUACCCGAGUUCAAUAACCAUCAUAAGAAGAAAAAAAAUGUGUUGAGUACAGCCUUAAUUUUAAUUUAGUGUUAAAAGUUGUACACUAUGCGUGUCAAAGUUAUGAAUUGCCUACAUAGGCAUUAAGUAUAGUUCCAAUUUUAAUCAAGUUUUGAGAAAUUGGACAUCACUAUGUGCCUAAGUCAAGCGAAUUUGCAUGAGUGAGGACCUUAGCACUUAAACUGCAUCAAGUGCCGAAAGUACUACACCGUGGAACAUCAAGGCCAUGACUUGCCUACGUAGGUGUUAAGUGUAGUUCUAAUUUUAAUUAAGUUUUGAAAAAUUGGGCAUCACUACACAGCUAAGUCAAACCAAUUCGCACGAGUGAAGACCUUAGCACUUAAGUAGCAUUAAGUGUUGAAAGUACAACACCACUGCAUCAAGGUUAUGACAUGCCUACAUAGAUGUUAAGUGUAGUUACAAUUUGAAUUAAGUUUUGAGAAGUUGAACAUCACUACACAUCCAAGGCAAACCAAUUCGCAUGAGUGAAGACCUUAGUAUUAAGUUGCAGUAAGUGCCAAAAGUUCAAAAUCGUGUGACAUCAAGGUUAUGAUUUGCCUACAUAGAUGUUAAAUGUAGUUUUGAUUUUAAUUAAGUUUUGAGAAGUUGGACAUCACUAUGCAUCCAAGUCAAACUAAUUUACAUGAGUGAAGACCUUAACACUUAAGUCGCAUUAAGUGUCGAAAGUACAACAUCGUGUAGUGUUGAAGCCAUGACUUGUUUGCAUAAGUUUUAAAUAUAAUUUUGGUUUUAAUUAAAUGUCAAGUCAAACCAAUUUGCAUGAGGGAAGACUUUAGCAUAUAAGUGUCAAAAAUACGACACCGCUUCAUGUCAGAGCUACAACUUGAUCAUAUGAGGGUCAAACUUUAAAUAUUCAUUUUUUUUUUUAUGAAUGUUUAAGUUUAUUAAAAAAAAAAUUCCUCCUCAAGUGUUAAGGUGAUUUUUUUUUCUUCUAAAAAAAAUAUACCUGAAAGUAAAUUCAUCUCUGCAAACGAUGAAGAUUGACAUGUGUUCAAGAGGGUGAGGAUCCAUUGUGCAACUCCAUAUAACAUAUAUUUAUAUAUGUUAAGGAGUCAUCCAUACCGUCAUCCUCAUGGUGAGUCGUCCAUACAAAGUUGUCUUCAUUGUGUGCCAUCCACGUGUCAUGGUGUGGCUCCAUUAUUUGAAGGUGUUGUGGUGUUUACCAAACUUGAUUUAUAAAGUGACUAUCACCAAAUUCGCAUUCGACCAGGCGAUGAGUGAAAGAAAGCUUUCAAGACUAAAGAUGACCUUUAUGAGUGACUAGUGAUGCCAUUUGGGUUAUCAAAUGUGCCAAGCACAUUCAUGUGGUUGAUGAACCAGGUUCUUCGUCCAUUUAUUAGAAAAUUUGUGGUGGUUUAUUUUGAUGAUAUUCUCAUCUAUAGUAAGAAUGAGGAGCACUUAUCACACAUCUUAGGGAAGUUCUCUUAUUCUUACGAGCUAAUAAAUUGUAUAUCAAUCUUAAGAAGUGUAGCUUUAUGAGUAGCCAUCUUUUAUUCCUUUGAUUUAUAGUGGGAAAGGAUGGUAUUCAAGUUGAUGAGACAAAGGUGAAGGCAGUUCGAGAAUGGCCAGCUCCUAAAACUGUGCAUGAAGUGCAAAGUUUCCACUAUUUAGCCACCUUUUAUAGUUGUUUUAUUCAAGGAUUUAGUACAAUCAUGGUGCCUAUUACUGAUUGUUUGAAGAAAGGCUAGUUCCAAUGGGGCAAAGCGUAAGAAGACAGUUUUGAAUUGAUAAAAGCAAAGUUGUGCAUUGCACCAGUGUUAGCACUCAAUUUUGAGAAAGUGUUUAAGGUUGAAUGUAAUGCAUCAGUUCAAAGAAAUUGGGGUUAUCUUAUCCCAAGAGGGUCGCCUCGUGAAAUUUAUCAGUGAAAAGGUUAGUUAACCUCGACAAAAGUGGUCUACUUAUGAGCUUGAAUUUUAUGUAGUUGCUUGAGCCUUAAAGCAUUGGGAGCAUUAUUUGUUUCAACGAGAGUUUGUGUUAUUUAUGGAUCAUCAAGCUUUAAAGUUCAUCAAUUCCCAAAAGAUGGUGAAUCGAAUGCACGCACGAUGGAUUGCCUUUUUACAAAGUUCACUUUUGUUAUCAAACAUAAGUCUAGCCAAUAUAAUGAAGUAGUUAAUGCAUUGAAUCGACGAGCUUCUUUACUAGCUACAAUUAGCACUGAGGUGGUGGGGUUUGAUUAUUUGAAGGAUACUUAUGUUGAUGAUGAGGAUUUUGGUGCCAUAUGGGCGUGAUGCAACAAUAACGAGUUUGUUAUUGACUUCCUUAUUCAAGAUGGAUUUUUAUUUUGAGGUAUACAAUUAUGUAUCCCUCGUUCUUUCUUUGUGUGAACAUUUGAUUAGAGAAUUGCAUGUUGGUAGACUAAGAGGACAUGUUGGUUAGGAUAAAACAAUUAGCUUGGUAGAAGGGAGAUUUAAUUGGUCCCAUCUCAAAUGGGAUGUUGGGCGUUUUAUUCAGCGUUGCCCAGUGUAUCAAAAAGCCAAUGGACAAGUUCAAAAUGCUAGUCUUUACACUCCUUUACCUGUUCUAGA
rnacentral:lncRNA from 1 species